UACGGAGGGUGCGAGCGUUAUCCGGAUUCACUGGGUUUAAAGGGUGCGUAGGUGGGCUUGUAAGUCAGUGGUGAAAUCUCCGGGCUUAACCUGGAAACUGCCAUUGAUACUAUAGGUCUUGAAUUUUCUGGAGGUAAGCGGAAUAUGUCAUGUAGCGGUGAAAUGCUUAGAUAUGACAUAGAACACCAAUUGCGAAGGCAGCUUGCUACAGGAAUAUUGACACUGAGGCACGAAAAGCGUGGGGGAUCAAAACAGGG
rnacentral:rRNA from 1 species